AGCCUAGGUGGGUUUGUGCAUCUGUGGGGGGACCUGAAGCUCAGGCACGCAGUGACUCCCCAAGGUAAGGGGCUCUGAUCGUGACACACCCAGGAGGAGUCGGAUGUCACGUCUGUGGGUUGCAUGGAGCCGGGGUGCCCGGGAGCACCUGGACUGCAUGGCUUUUGGGCUCCCCUGGUUAAAACCAGUGAGCAAAGGCAGGUGGCUAUGUGUAGGCAGAGCUGGGCCAUCCAAGCCCGACUGUGCCAAAGCCUCACAGUAGACAGGGGCAGGCCUUAUUAGUUCUGCUUUGCAGAUGGGAAAGUGAGUCUGGGAACCCGGAAUGGACUGGCCAGGGCUGCCCAGGUGACCGCAGGUGCCUGGAGGCAAGCCAGGUGCUGCCCAGGGCCUGCAUACCUGCUCCUGAGGGGCCUGUGCCUGACUGCCCCAGGGAUCCACGUCCUCACACCUGCCCCUUUGGCCUGCACCCCAGGGGACUGGCUGAAUGAGCACGUGGCCUACCACCGGCUGGCCGCCCUGCACCACUGGCUGGGCCAUGGCAAGCUAGCGGAGCACUUCUACCUCAAGGCCCUGUAGCUCUGCAACUCGCCGCUGGAGUUCGACGAGGAGACCGUCUAUUACGUGUAGGUGUACCUGGUGCUCGGUGACAUCAUCUUCUAUGACCUGAAGGAAACAAUGUGACAGCCGGGUUAGACACUCCCUGCGACUUGAGGUGUCAUAUCUCUGCCUGGAUAUUUGGAUCCAUGAUGGACACACAGCGUGUUUACGAUUUUAUAUUAGGAUCAGUGUCACACCGUGAGUGUACACCUACUACGAUAUUAAAACUAAUACCAUGCUCUCCA